AGCCCAGACUCCUACGGGAGGCAGCAGUGGGGAAUACUGCACAAUGGGGGAAACCCUGAUGCAGCAACGCCGCGUGAGUGAGGAAGUAUUUCGGUAUGUAAAGCUCUAUCAGCAGGGAAUAGAAAAGAAGGUACCUGAAAAAGAAGCCCCGGCUAACUACGUGCCAGCAGCCGCGGUAAUACGUAGGGGGCAAGCGUUAUCCGGAAUUACUGGGUGUAAAGGGAGCGUAGACGGUGAUGCGAGUCUGGAGUGAAAGGCGGGGGCCCAACCCCCGGACUGCUCUGGAAACUGUGUAACUUGAGUGCAGGAGAGGUAAGCGGAAUUCCUAGUGUAGCGGUGAAAUGCGUAGAUAUUAGGAGGAACACCAGUGGCGAAGGCGGCUUACUGGACUGUAACUGACGUUGAGGCUCGAAAGCGUGGGGAGCAAACAGGAUUAGAUACCCCUGUAC
rnacentral:rRNA from 1 species